rnacentral:rRNA from 1 species
UACGGAGGGUGCAAGCGUUAUCCGGAUUUACUGGGUUUAAAGGGUGCGUAGGUGGGUCUGUAAGUCAGUGGUGAAAUCUCCGAGCUUAACUCGGAAACUGCCAUUGAUACUAUAGGUCUUGAAUUAUCUGGAGGUAAGCGGAAUAUGUCAUGUAGCGGUGAAAUGCUUAGAUAUGACAUAGAACACCGAUAGCGAAGGCAGCUUGCUACACGAUCAUUGACGCUGAGGCACGAAAGCGUGGGGAGCAAACAGG